AUUCGUUGGGGGUCUUAAAGAUAACAGACAAAGGAAUUCUUAUCCUUCUCGAUCGCAGUGGGAGCGUGAUUUGGUCUUCCAACACAGCAAGACCUGCGAGGAAUCCAACCGCUCAACUUUUGGAGUCAGGAAACCUUGUUGUGAAAGAGGAGGGCGAUAACAACCUGGAAAAUUCCUUGUGGCAGAGUUUUGAACAUCCGACUGAUACGAUAUUGCCAGGCAUGAAGCUAGGAAGGAGUAGAAUAACAGGAAUGGAAUGGUCCAUGACAUCAUGGAAAUCAGAAGAUGAUCCUUCCAGAGGUAACAUUACAUGUAAACUUGCUCCUUAUGGAUAUCCUGACAUUGUUGUGAUGGAAGGUUCGCAAGUGAAGUACCGAUCUGGACUCUGGGAUGGUCUGCGGUUCAGUGGCGUGCCUAGCACAAAACCAAAUCCUAUAUACAAAUAUGAAUUUGUUUUCAAUGAGAAGGAGAUAUUUUACAGAGAAAGUCUUGUUGAUAAGUCGAUGCAUUGGAGGCUCGUGACAAGACAGAAUGGUGAUAUCGCGAGCUUUACUUGGAUUGAGAAAACACAAAGUUGGUUGCUUUAUGAAACAGCAAAUACAGAUAAUUGUGAUCGAUAUGCACUAUGUGGUGCAAAUGGUUUCUGUGAUAUUCAAAGCUCUCCAAUGUGUGAUUGCUUGAAUGGAUUUGUACCAAAAUCCCCAAGAGAUUGGAACGUGACUGAUUGGGCAAAUGGUUGUGUUAGAAGGACUCCACUAAAUUGUUCUGGAGAUGGGUUCCGAAAGCUCGCUGGAGUGAAGAUGCCUGAGACAAAAUCAUCGUGGUUUAGCAAGACGAUGAAUCUUGAGGAGUGCAGGAACACGUGCUUGGAGAAAUGCAACUGUACAGCAUAUUCAAAUCUGGACAUCAGGAAUGGAGGAAGUGGGUGCUUGCUCUGGUUCGGCGACCUGGUUGACAUUAGAGUUUUUGCUGAAAACGAGCAAGAGAUUUAUAUACGAAUGGCCGAAUCAGAACCAGGUAUGAAUUUAUCUUCAGACAAGAAAACUCACUAUCUACAAAUCACUUUCUAGCAACUUGUGGCUGAGUCAUUCUUUAAAUAGUAACUGCCAAUUUAAAGCUAAAAUAGGAAAUCAAACAUACUAGAUAUAGAAGAAGAUUUUCCUUCACUUUAUUUUUCCUGCGCUUCUGCAGCGAUCUUUUCCGUUAUAGUAUAUUUCUCAAAAAUCUUCAUUUUCAAUCUCGUUGCAAACCGUGUUUCCUUGUAACUAUAUUACACAGGAUACAGAGACUUUACUAAGAACGAAUUUGGAAAUGAAUCAAAAUAUGCACUAUCCACAGGGCAGACUAAAUAGAAGUCAUUGCCAACAUGGACAAAUCGUAGCUAAUAGAUAACCAUGAGAAAGGGUGCUAUAGCUAAUAAAAAUUUAUAGCCGUACUAAAUUCUAUACCUCUCGACUUUCCUAUUGUUGUCCUUUAACUCCAGUUUUUCUCUUCCAUGUUGUAGAUAUUGGAGAUGGUGCAAGGAUAAAAAAAAAAUCCGAAGCCAAGAAAAGGAUCAUAAUAAGCACUGUGUUAUCUACUGGGAUUCUGUUCCUUGGCCUAGCCUUGGUCUUGUAUGCUUGGAUGAAGAAGCAUCAGAAAAACAGUACGUAAUUCACACCAUGAACAUUUAACAAGUACUCCAUCUCUCCAUUUCAGAUAAGAUGUUUUGUUUCUUUUGAAUUUUGAUUUUUAAAAAUGGAAGGCAUCGUCAAAAUGUUAAAAGAGUAUUUGGUAGCUUACUGUAACCAAAAAUAUUGUUCCCAUUCUUCUUUCUUAUUCAUGCCAGUUAUUCUGCCUGCGGGACAAAUGACAGAAGCUCUGGAAAGAAGUUCAAAUAACAUGCAGAGGAAGGAAGAUCUGGAACUUCCAUUGUUUGAUUUCAGUACCUUGGCUUGUGCAACAAACAAUUUCUCUACCGACAAUAAACUUGGAGAAGGGGGUUUCGGAACAGUUUAUAAGGUACUAAUCUAAAAACAAUCAGGCAACUAGAUUGCUUCAAUUUUUCAUGGCACAAACUGAUGGCAGCACUGAUUUUUAUAAUUUGUUGGUAUUAUUUUGCUUGGAACUUCUUCCACGGAAAGCCUUUAAACAUAAAACAAUGACUGCUCGGAAAGUGUUCAAACUUUAUAGUCACAACAGAUGCAAGUAGUGGGGAACAUCACACUGUGAUUCCCGACUUUCACAAGACAAAUGAUUGCUUAUGAUACUGAGUGAUUGUUUGCAGGGAACAUUAGCAGAUGGACGAGAAAUUGCAGUGAAGAGGCUCUCUAAGAUUUCAAGACAAGGUCUUGAUGAGUUAGAAAAUGAAGCCAAUUAUAUUAUGAAACUUCAGCACCGGAAUCUAGUGAAGCUUCUAGGAUGCUGCAUCGAAAGAGAUGAAAAGAUGUUGAUCUAUGAAUUCUUGCCUAACAAAAGCUUGGACUUUUUUAUUUUCGGUAUGAAUCUCUCAAAACCGCUACAAAUUCUUUCCAAUUAUAUUGGCAAUAUAGGGCAGUCAUCGCACCGUAACCAAAUCUCAGUGAACAAGGCCAUGAGCUGUGGCUUAAGAAAAAAAAAAGCACACUAGAUGAGUCGGGGAUACAAGUUACUGGGACAAAUGGGGAGCCAUAAGCACCAAAACAAUCAUCUGUUGUGUUUCCUUCAAAACUCUUGGGAAAAUGGCAAACCAAUUUGUGAUUUUAUUUGAACAUUCUUUGAUUUUUAAGUACGCAUUACCUUUCUUUCGUACCUUCUCAUAUCCAUUUAGGAAUCUGCUGCUAUAAUGAUUUGACUUGGGCAAAUAAUUGACAGAAAAAACACGAAGCUUUCUACUUGAUUGGCCUAAGCGCUACAACAUUAUCAAUGGUAUUGCUCGUGGACUCCUUUAUCUUCACCAGGAUUCAAGAUUAAGAGUAAUUCAUAGAGACCUGAAAGCCGGCAAUAUUUUAUUGGAUAAUGAGCUGAACCCGAAAAUUUCAGACUUUGGCCUGGCUAGAAGUUUUGGAGGAAAUAAAAUUGAAGCCAAUACUAAUAAAGUGGCUGGUACAUAGUAAGUGCCUCCGACGUAUGAUUUUUAUCUUCGUUUUUUCACAUUUACCUCUUAACAUUCCAUGAAUGAGUGCAGCGGCUACAUAUCCCCUGAGUACGCAAAUUAUGGACUCUACUCGGUAAAAUCAGACAUCUUCAGCUUCGGUGUAUUGGUGCUAGAGAUAGUGAGUGGGAACAAGAACAGAGGAUUCAGUCAUCCAGACCACCAUCUCAACCUUCUUGGGCAUGUAAGUUUCAAAACUAUUUUAUUUACUCUUCUUUUCAUUUUACUCUUGAGCACCUAUGUUAGGUUGCAGGUGCUUGGCAUGUUUUGGACACUGGGACACUUCAAAUGCUUUAAAUAUUUGUAAAAGUCUGUAAACUAAUCCAGUCUGAAAAUGAUAUGCAUGAUGGUUUUGGAUCAAAGAGUCAUGGGGAGAUGGAGUCACUGCAAUUAUUUUCUUAUUUCUAGAUAUCAAAUCUGUUAUAAUAACAUGGUCUUGUUUAUUAGGCUUGGAUACUGUUCAAAGAAAACAGGUCUUUGGAACUGGCUGCAGAUUCAAUAGCUAUAACAUGCAAUUUAUCAGAAGUGCUACGAUCAAUUCACGUGGGUUUAUUGUGCGUGCAAGAAAAUCCAGAAAUUAGGCCAUUGUGCGUGCAAGAAAAUCCAGAAAUGAGGCCAACCAUGUCAAAUGUAGUUUUGAUGCUAGGUAAUGAUGAUGUACUGCCUCAGCCUAAGCAACCAGGUUCUAACUCUGAAACCGUGUUCAGUUAACGAAUGGUCGGUUUCAGAGUUAGAACCAAGAUAGAUUGCUUUCAAUGUUGUCGGUGUUGAUAUUUUGUUUCUCUAUUGUUAUGCCGUGUACUCUUAUAUUCUUGAUAUUGUCCCCGGUGUCAAACGUAUCUACCUCAGAACUGCACUGUGUAAGGUCAUUAACGUUGGAAUUAAUUUUGAAGUCUUUGUUUUCUAUUUUUUUUUAAGGUAUUUUCUAGAUUUAUACAUGUAACUAUUAAAUAAAUAUUUAUUUUUUAAAUUUCUUGAAUUAUCUUAGACUAGCAUAAAUAUAUAUUUAGAGUAUUAUAAAUCUAAGUUCAAAUCCAUUGAAACUUCCUUUCUUAAGAGAGUAAUAUUUAUAUAAAUGAGAUUUAUUUUUUACCAUGUUUUCUAUAUUUCUAUUUUUACUUUUCUCCUUCAAAUAUUUCUAGCAAUACCAACACCGUUGAUCUGUUAUAUCCAAUAGAAUUCAUUAACCAAUUAGAAUUCAAAUGGCGUUCCUUCCAAGACACUUCCAUUUACUAUAACCAUCUCUGUCUUUUUUUAUUUUCCUUUACAUUUCUUUUUUUUAGGUUAAUGAAUGCCACUGAUAGAAAAAUAAGAGAAUUAUGAUAUAAUUUUUUAUUGCAAAUCAAAUAUCAGGUUUUCACAUUCUAAAAUUCAGAACAGAUUUUAGUUCAGCAACAUGUCUCUAGAAAUAAAAAAUAAAAAAUAAAAAAAAAAUAGGGGUGAGUGUCGUGUGGGGUUAGUGUACGACUAAAAUGAUAAACAAAUUUUCUAUGAAUUAUGUGUGUGUGAAGCACGACAUAGGUAUAGUGAUUUCCCACAUUUUUUAAGAGUUUUGUUAGUUAAUUUUAUCUAUAUAUUUUUUUUAAUUUAACGUGGAUAUCCGGACCAGCUUGCGCGUAUCUCGAUUAAUUUCACAGGCCCUGAAAUUAACGACCAUGUAAGCCUCCAGUGGCCAUCAUAUGAGCAACCACAAGGCUCGAACCUGAGACCACUGAAUAAGCAAAUCUUUUGGUCUCAAACUCUUAUCAUUAGACCAUCAUCUAAAUAGUUGGGUUUUUUUUUAAAAAAAAAAAAGAGGGUGAGUGUCUUGUGGGUUAGUGCUAUGUGUCGAGGACAAAUUUGACAGCGGAUAGGAGCCUUCCAUGUUUGAAUUUGGAAGCAUAUAGAAAAAAAAAAAAAAAAAAGUCUCCUAUGGCUACCAACUAAUGUUUUGCCUAAAGUAUGAUUCUUUGACCUUUUGUGGAAUGGAAUUAUUUGGAAUUUGAAAGAGGGCGUCCCCUUCAAUUCUAUGGGUCUAAGUCUUCGUAAUAUUGUUUUUUCCCUGUAGUUUAUAUGUUAAAAAAAAAUUAUUGAUGUAUGAUUUUUAAAAAAAAAUAAAUAAAUUAUUUGAUUUUUCUAAAUAAAGUUAAAAAAAUAAAGGUUGGCCUUUUUAAAAAGAAAUCCAAAAGGUCUCACGAACCAAUUCCUAGGCCCAAAGCAAGUGUGCUUGCCCAUUUUAAUGUUUUUUUUUUUUUUUUUGCUUGGAUGCAUGGACGGUGCGUCAUCUUUCCAACCAAUAUUUUUUCUUGCAAACGACAACAUACGACCUGUUGUCAGUAUCUCCAGUUUUGGGUUAUUAAAAAAUUGGGGUUGGGAUUUUUCAACUUUAAAAAUUUAUUUUCAACUUUAAAAAUUUAUUUUCAGUAUUUGUUUUACUUUAAAAUACUUAUAAAUUAUUUAAUGUCUUCAAACAACUCAAAAAUUGAUAUGUAAAUAAAAAAUUAACUUAAAACCCAAAACAUUUUCAAAAUUAGAUCUAAUUUCUAAAGUAAUGUUAAUGUGAAAUAACAUCAGAGUUAGAUUUUAUUUUUUUGAAUGAAAUCCAUAGAAUAUAAAAAUUGAUUUUUUUAGUGAACAAAAUCAAAUCAACCAUCAAUUUUUUUUCUUUACAAUAGAAUUCAACUAGUCUCUAUUUUAUCUUUCUAACCAAGAAUUAAAAAAAUAAAAAAAAUAAAGAUUUAUUCUAAAAUUAUUUUUAAAAAAAAUUAGAGAGACCGAAACAUUAUUUCAUUAUUUAAAAGUAGGACCAAAAUGAACUUUUUUCUAAAGUUUUGAACCGCCAUCCAUUUUUUUCUUCAUCUUAUUCACUUUGAUGCUCUAACUUUAAAUCCUUUUAUUUCUUAAUAAAUUAACCUAGAUCGACUAUCAAUUUGGUUUUAAAAGGACCCAAUGGUGUAGAAAAAAAAAAAGACUAAAAUAAAUCGUGGAGUUAUAUAUGUGUGAAUAGUGAUGUGGGCUACAGUAACUUACCCAUAACAUUUAGAGUUUUGAUAAUUUUGUCUUUUAAUGAAAUGAGUGAGUGCCGUGUGGGGUUAGUGGUAUUUGUCCAAGACAAAUUUGACAUGGCUAGCGAGGAGCCUUCUAUCUUUGAAUUUGGAAGUAAAUGGAAGAAAAAAUCCAGUCUCCUAAGGCUAAAUUAUGCUUGUUUGGACCUUUUGUGGAAUGGAAUUAUUUGGACUUUGAAGGAGGACAUCCCCUUCAAUUCUACGAGUCCAAGUCUUCCUAAAAUAUUUCACGCAUUUUUUUGUCAUUGAUUGCCUUAAGAACCGGCUGUCAUUAGUCGUGAGAAUUGCAUAUUUUAUAAUGCAAUCAACAACAAAUCAUUUAAUUAGGAAAAAAAAUAUAAUUCAUUUAAUUAGAAAAAAAAAUAUAAUUUAAGUUAAUUAGAUUAGCAUGUCAAACUUAUCAUUCAGGUUAUGAAACUGAAUAUCAAUAAAUAAAAAAUAAAUUACAAAACUUAAAUUCCAAUCAAUCCUCUUAUAAGUAUGAAAUUGAAAAAAAUUUGUCUUAAUCUCCCCCUUAAGAAUGUGAGGAGAGAGAAGUUGUCUGAAUAAACAUGUGAAUGCAAUCCUCUAUUCGUUAAGAAUGAGAAAAAUGGAGUCCUUGAAGAUGAUUGUUCACUCAUACAUGAAAAAUGGAACAUCGCUUUCGUGGUGAAGAAGUUGUGGCUAUAAAUAUGAAUAUUUUCACAUCUAAGCCAUUCAUUAACAGAGCUACAGAAAAAAACCAUAGAAGUAACGAUGGGUUACAUUCCCAUACUUCUUUUUUGCUUCUUUUCAUUGCUGAAUAGAGUGACGGCCACAGCCAUUGACAUCAUAAACACAGCUCAGUUCAUCAGGGAUGGCGAUACCAUAGUUUCAGCAGAUGGAACCUAUGAAUUAGGAUUUUUCAGCCCUGGAAAGUCAAAAAACAGAUACUUGGGCAUAUGGUAUGGGAAAAUACCAGUUCAAACUGUAGUUUGGGUUGCCAAUAGAGAAACUCCCCUUAAUGAUUCGUUGGGGGUCUUAAAGAUAACACACAAAGGAAUUCUUAUCCUUCUCGAUCGCAGUGGGAGCGUGAUUUGGUCUUCCAACACAGCAAGACCUGCGAGGAAUCCAACCGCUCAACUUUUGGAGUCAGGAAACCUUGUUGUGAAAGAGGAGGGCGAUAACAACCUGGAAAAUUCCUUGUGGCAGAGUUUUGAACAUCCGACUGAUACGAUAUUGCCAGGCAUGAAGCUAGGAAGGAGUAGAAUAACAGGAAUG
rnacentral:lncRNA from 1 species